rnacentral:lncRNA from 1 species
CUGUUGUUGUUUCGAUAAUUAGAUAAUAAGACUUCUUUCUGAAAUGCAACCACUCGGAGAAUCAACUGCUUCGGUGUCGAUUAUAUUUCAGCCUUCUUGGAAAAACUGACAUCCCGACUGCAAUUUUAAAGCGACACCAAAUAUACUUUGACUUUCACUGUAAAAGCUAGAAGAUCGACGAUCUCGACAUCGAAUAUACUUCGGCUUUCACUGUAAAAGCCAAAAGAUCAACGAUCUCAACACCGAAUAUACUUCGACUUUCAUUAUAAAAAUCAGAGGAUUGACUAUCUCGACACUGACGACAUAUCGGUUUCCCCAAAGAAUCGAUCUAUUAACUUCAACUGGAGGCCAGCACCGACGACGUAGAUCCUCUCUACAAAAGUUGCGCUGCCCCCAUAGUCAGCUCUCCAUUGAAGCAGCUGGCUAAUUUGUCGAUUUAGCAUCAACUAAGAAAGGCAAAAUGCCAAGACGAUCGAGGUCGGAUUGAAAUUAUACCGACAUAGCCAUGGCCAGACGAGGGAUAUUUGGCUUGCCACC